GGCUAACUCCGUGCCAGCAGCCGCGGUAAUACGGAGGGUGCGAGCGUUAAUCGGAAUUACUGGGCGUAAAGCGCAUGCAGGUGGUUUGUUAAGUUCAGAUGUGAAAGACCCGGGGCGUCAACCUCGGAAUAGCAUUUGAAACUGGCAGACUAGAGUACUGUAGAGGGGGGUAGGAAGUUUCAGGUGUAGCGGUGAAAUAGCGUAGAGAUCUGAAGGAAUACCGGUGGCGAAGGCGGCCCCCUGGACAGAUACUGACACUCAGAUGCGAAAGCGUGGGGAGCAAACAGGAUUAGAUACCCCUGGUAG
rnacentral:rRNA from 1 species